AAGGGGAGGACAACUCCAGCAGUGGCUUAAGAUGAUAACAGCAAACUAUGUCCUUCUUUCCACAGCCCUCCACCCUGAGAGAUUUGCCAUUUUAUGGAUGGAGCUCUGUGUAUAUAAUCCCAGGUCUCCAAACUAUAAAGGGGAUAAAGGUAGCUAUACCUGCAUUACUCUAAUUCAGUUCCUGUAGAUUUUCCUGAAGCAGAUUGAUAAAGAGUGGCUUUAGAUCCCUUAUGUCUCACCCUACAGUAACUGUCAUAUGGUUUCCGGGUUGUACCAAAGUUACUCCAGUUUUGAACAGGCUAAGGUGAGGAGCUGAGCCCUCUAAAACCUUGUGUCAUUUUACUUUUCCCACCUGUAAAAUGGAAACAAUAGUUCUUUACUGUUUUAUACAAAUAGUACUGGGAUGCUGCAGAGAUAAGAGACAAUCAGCUAAUCUUAUAAUAGGGAUAAUGAUCUUGGUGGAGAAUAAGGUAUUUUGCUCCAAGGAUAUUUAUGCCUACAUAAGCACAAGUGGCAAACAGGAAGAUGUGAUCCGAGUCUGCAGAAUGUUAAUUAGAUUGCAUGAGGGAAACUGUGAGGAUAAAAUGCAACAACAGCAUAGCUACCCUGCUGCCACAAUUAACUUCUCUCUUCAGAAGGCAGGAAAGCAUGGCUAGUACUUAGAUGCAGCCUGGAACUACAGUUCAUAUGCACAAUCUCUAAAAUGUUCAAAAAGCAAACUUAUACGUUUGGUAUGAAAGGAAAAAAUCUGGCAAUGAUGAGUUCAUUUUAUCCGAAGAAAUAUAAGCAAACUAAAAAUGGAAUAAAUAUAUUCAUAAAACUUACAAGAAGAAUUCAAAGUAUAUACGACAGGGCUAUCAUUUGGAGAAACAUAAGCAAGAGGAAUAUGCCAACGAAAACUUUAUGAUGUUCAACAAACUGCAAAUAAUCCUCAGCAACAAGAGAGGCUGAGGACUGGCACUGCAGAAGAGCACCUUGGGUAUUGGUUAACAGUUGGAUCGUGUCCUGAGCAGACUGGUUCAAGUGCAGAGCUGGCCUUGUUCUGAGCUGGAGCAACUCUUAAAACCUGAAUUACUCCUGUAUUUAUUCACACAAUCUCCUUGCCUUGUGCAAUCCUACCCGUAAUUGCUGGAAGAAUCCUGGAGCUUCGAUGCUGCUAAUUCAAACUGCUGCAGUGAUGGUCUAUGCAAUAUACUGAGUAUAUACAAUACACUCGGAGAACUUUACUCCUUCAAUUGCACACUAACUCAUGAAUGUCACAUCCGUAUCUGCAGUAUCAUGAAGGUAACAACAGUUUUACAAACACCUUUUGAGUCAAAGGGAUAUCAUUAGCAAUCUUACCAAAAAAACCCAACUUUACAACUAUCUUACCUUGCCUCUAACAUCAAAAGUUCUUCAGACAUUAGCCCUUAUGCCUGCUUUGGAAAACUUUAAAAAGAACUGCAGGAAAUUUGUGUAAAUUUUAAAGUUUCCAAAUUACUGGAACAGAAUUAGCUGAGAUCUGACUUUGAGAAAUGGCAGUCAUGGGGGGGGGAGGGUCACUCUUAAGCUCUAGGGCAUGAAGACAAGACAGACUAUAGGGGAAAAAUGACAUCUUCCCCUGGCUAGUUUCACUGUCUUUUGUUUGGGCCAUAUACAGCCUCAUAGGAGACUAGGGCAGACAAACAGAAGCAGUCUCUGUGCUGCUACUCUGUUUGCAGAGGAAGGAGUUAUUUUAAUAUUUUUCGUAGUGGCAAAGGUUGAGCUAAUAUAAAGGGAGGGCAGGUAUGUCAUUAGUCAACAGAGAGAAUCUUCUUUCCCUUGCAUCUGUGCAAAGUUUAUCAAAAUAUUUGUCACACAAAGGCCAAUACUGUCACAGAAGUCACCAUUAAGCACUGAACAACUCUGCCUUGUUCAGUUGUAGCAUCAGAUACACGCAAAAAAUCAAAUACUAUUUGCAUGAUAUUCUUCAUCAGCAAAGAUUAGUUUCACCUCUUGCACUUCUAAAGUUCUUGGCUCUUAUCUCUAAUUAUGUGCUAGCUUGCCCAGCUGCAUGGGGAAAUUGCGCUGAUAAAAUCUUUAGCACUCACUUAAACCUUUAAGAACAGGUUUGAUUUAAAUUACACAGAUAUCACUGACUCUUCCACAGGAACUCUGAGAUCAGAAUUUGCUGUCUAUUAUUAAUAAUAAAAGGAUUCAGAAUAGAUCUGUCAUGGAACGUGAAGCAGGACCAACUUUGCCUCUUGGGAUGUGAUCUAUGAGUAAAGAAUUUACUCCAGCAUAAUAUCCAAAUAAAGGCCUCAGCUGAAACCCACUGAAGUCAAUGGAAAGAUGCUCCAAGGAGCAGGCUGCAGACCUGGAGCUAGAGUGUUAUAUACCUCUCUAUCUCCCCUACAGUUGUACUCUUCCCAGAGCACCGCUGCCAAGCAAGAAGGUUGCAGAGGCUCAAAGCUCUAGUCUCACUUGCAAGAAGGUUGCA